rnacentral:piRNA from 1 species
UGCUAAAGAACCUCAUAUUCAGAACC